GGGAUUGCCCUAGUAACGGCGAGUGAAGCGGCAACAGCUCAAAUUUGAAAUCUGGCGCAAGCCCGAGUUGUAAUUUGUAGAGGAUGCUUCUGGGUAGCGACCGAUCUAAGUUCCUUGGAACAGGACGUCAUAGAGGGUGAGAAUCCCGUAUGUGACCGGCCCGCACCCUUUACGUAGCUCCUUCGACGAGUCGAGUUGUUUGGGAAUGCAGCUCUAAAUGGGAGGUAAAUUUCUUCUAAAGCUAAAUACCGGCCAGAGACCGAUAGCGCACAAGUAGAGUGAUCGAAAGAUGAAAAGUACUUUGGAAAGAGAGUUAAAAAGCACGUGAAAUUGUUGAAAGGGAAGCGCCUGCAACCAGACUUCGCGGCAGUGUUCCGCCGGUCUUCUGACCGGUUCAUUCUCUGUCGCGAGGCCAUCAUCGUCUGGGCCCGCCGGAUAAGACCUUAGGAAUGUAGCUCACCUUCGGGGGAGUGUUAUAGCCUAGGGUGAUGCGGCGAGGCUCGGGCGAGGUCCGCGCUUCGGCAAGGAUGAUGGCGUAAUGGUUGUCGGCGGCCCGUCUUGAAACACGGACCAAGGAGUCUAACAUCUAUGCGAGUGUUCGGGUGUCAAACCCCUACGCGUAAUGAAAGUGAACGGAGGUGGGAACCGCAAGGUGCACCAUCGACCGAUCCUGAUGUCCUCGGAUGGAUUUGAGUAAGAGCAUAGCUGUUGGGACCCGAAAGAUGGUGAACUAUGCCUGAAUAGGGUGAAGCCAGAGGAAACUCUGGUGGAGGCUCGCAGCGGUUCUGACGUGCAAAUCGAUCGUCAAAUUUGGGUAUAGGGGCGAAAGAUAAUCGAAC
rnacentral:rRNA from 1 species